rnacentral:rRNA from 1 species
GAUGAACGCUGGCGGCGUGCCUAAUACAUGCAAGUCGAGCGAACAGACGAGGUGCUUGCUCCUCUGACGUUAGCGGCGGACGGGUGAGUAACACGUGGAUAACCUACCUAUAAGACUGGGAUAACUUCGGGAAACCGGAGCUAAUACCGGAUAAUAUAUUGAACCGCAUGGUUCAAUAGUGAAAGACGGUUUUGCUGUCAUUUAUAGAUGGAUCCGCGCCGCAUUAGCUAGUUGGUAAGGUAACGGCUUACCAAGGCGACGAUGCGUAGCCGACCUGAGAGGGUGAUCGGCCACACUGGAACUGAGACACGGUCCAGACUCCUACGGGAGGCAGCAGUAGGGAAUCUUCCGCAAUGGGCGAAAGCCUGACGGAGCAACGCCGCGUGAGUGAUGAAGGUCUUCGGAUCGUAAAACUCUGUUAUUAGGGAAGAACAAAUGUGUAAGUAACUAUGCACGUCUUGACGGUACCUAAUCAGAAAGCCACGGCUAACUACGUG